rnacentral:rRNA from 1 species
AAUGAACGCUAGCGGGAUGCCUUACACAUGCAAGUCGAACGAGUGGCGAACGGGUGAGUAAUGAAUCGGAAGGUGCCCAGGAGCGGGGGAUAACUAAGCGAAACGUAGCUAAUACCGCAUACUAGUGAGGCGGCAGAUAGUGGAUUAGCUAGUUGGAGGGGUAACGCCUCACCAAGGCGACGAUCCGUAGCUGGUUUGAGAAGAUGACCAGCCACACUGGGACUGAGACACGGCCCAGACUCCUACGGGAGGCAGCAGUGUGGAAUUUUGGACAAUGGGCGAAACUCUGACCCAGCCAUCCCGCGUGUGCGAUGAAGGCCUUCGGGUUGUAAAGCACUUUUGGCAGGAAAGCGGUACCUGAGGAAUAAGCACCGGCUAACUACGUGCCAGCAGCCGCGGUAAUUC